rnacentral:rRNA from 1 species
AUUGAACGCUGGCGGCAGGCUUAACACAUGCAAGUCGAGCGGAGAGAGGUAGCUUGCUACUGAUCUUAGCGGCGGACGGGUGAGUAAUGCUUAGGAAUCUGCCUAUUAGUGGGGGACAACCUUUCGAAAGGAAUGCUAAUACCGCAUACGUCCUACGGGAGAAAGCAGGGGAUCUUCGGACCUUGCGCUAAUAGAUGAGCCUAAGUCGGAUUAGCUAGUUGGUGGGGUAAAGGCCUACCAAGGCGACGAUCUGUAGCGGGUCUGAGAGGAUGAUCCGCCACACUGGGACUGAGACACGGCCCAGACUACUACGGGAGGCAGCAGUGGGGAAUAUUGGACAAUGGGCGCAAGCCUGAUCCAGCCAUGCCGCGUGUGUGAAGAAGGCCUUAUGGUUGUAAAGCACUUUAAGCGAGGAGGAGGCUACUUUAGUUAAUACCUAGAGAUAGUGGACGUUACUCGCAGAAUAAGCACCGGCUAACUCUGUGCCAGCCGCCGCGGUAAAAC